GGGGAGGGGCCAUCCCUCUGGGAGGUCUGGGAGUCAGGGAGCACCAUCUGAGCCCCAGCCAGGCCUGGCGAGCAUAAAUGGGAGGGGAUUUCUCUGGACACAUGGAACUGACCUAGAUGGGAUGAGACUAACUGUACCUCUCAUCUAAAAUCUUCCUCUCCAAUCCCUUCCUGCCUUCAAAGGCUCAGGAGAGCUCUGACAUUCAUCCCUAACAGCAAUAGUUUUCAUUUCUGAGAAGACAGGAAAAGUAUACCACUCUUAUAAUGUCACGGCAGCAAGAAGACUAUGGUUAUCUGAUCAUUUGAGGCAGUAGCAAAGAAGAGCCUAGUUGCAAGCCCAGAUGUGCAUCUCCUCAACCUACCCUGCUCCCUCCCCUGACAGCAACCUUCUCUGG